CUCAUUUUCUAAUGUUCCUCUCACACUCCAGUACCUGUAGUGUUGUUGAUCUAAUAUAUCAGCACGUCAUGCAUGCCCUCCAACAUGUCCAGGCCCCGAACCAGGAUGUGUGUGUUUCGGGCUGCGCUCCUGGGUGAGUCACUUGACCCGUGUGCCAUUGUAACCCCUGGGGUUACAAUGGGGGUGUAGAUCAUGGCGCCCAAAAUGGCUGCCAUGCUCUCACGUGAAAAAACAGGAUGUCACAGUUUUCCCGGGACAGUUGAGGGACAUGUGUCACAUCGCCCCCUGGGCUGGUUGUAAGUAAGAAGGCAGGCAGGUGGAGCCUGGCUGAGAGUAGACUGAAUCUUUUGGGGGCAGUGUCCCAUUUGUCAUAAUGGACCAGCCCCCACUGAUUUCAAUCUACCUCCUUCCAACUAAACAGUUGCACGUGAGUUUAAAAAUUGAAGCUUUUGGUAAAAGGACAAGAGCGGCCUUCAAGGACUCAUAAACACAUAUUUUGCAAGGAGCUACUUACCUGGUCUUAACUUUAUUUUUUUCUUCAAAAAAAUUAAUCCCCAAGAUUUUCUUGGAGAAAAUCUAAUUCUGGAUAAGGCCUAGUCACUUACCAGAUGAAGCUGAUUUUGACUAAACGAUUAUCUUAUGUAUGAUAUAAGACCCUUCUAGUCUGCAUUUGAGCAAGUUCAUAAGCUUUCAAUUAUAUCCCCGGGUGAAUAAUAUAAAUCUUUCUCCUGAUCAAGUUCAGUGAAGAAUGCAUUUUUUUAAAAAAGGGAUUUUGCAAACAAGGAAACUCAUCACUUCAAGAUUACCCUAUGUCAUUAGAAAUAUCAACUGUUUUCAUUCAUUAUUAAGCCGAAUGUAUGAACAAUUUGUAACAAAGAGAGAAGAAAGUAGAUGGAGAGAGAAGCUGUGGAUGAUUUGUUUAUAUUAGAAGAAUCUGUCUCUUGUGCUUUCCUUUAUGCAUGGAAAGAAUGAAAAUUAUUUUCACCAUUUAUAUGCAAUUAUGCAGGCAGUGGUCUUUCCUCUCUCUUAAGCACUAAAAUAGUGUUAAUGAUUUCUAAAUGCUAUAUUAGGCCUACACUAUUAUCAGCCCAAUGGUAAUUUGAAGUGGUGGGGGAACACCCCAAACCUGCAUUAUGCAAAAUAUAUCAAGUGUUUUAAAAUAAAUAUUCUCUGUAACAUACCACAGGGAAUGCUGAAUCCCAGGUGGGUUAAUAACAUGUGAAUGUGCAAGAAUUUUGAGUGAACAAUUAUUAGAAUUGAGCGCUUGGAUUUUAAGGAUACAAGCUGUGGACAGGGUUAUGAGCUCAAAAAGCAAAUGAAAAACAAAGUCCUCUGGAGCUAUUGUACUGUACUCUACUGUGCUGCUGCAAACCGUGUCUUUUCUGGACAGUGAAUAUAUUGCAGGUUUAUAACAGUGCAAUGGGUGUGGGACACAUAUAUGCAAAUGUUUGGAAACAGACACUGGGAACAGCAAAUGGCUGAUGCUGCUGGGAAGGUGCUGUGCUGGGUGAACUGAAUCCAUCGUAAUUCGCAAGUCGCUCGGUGAAUUGCAAAUUCAACAAUAUAAACUCAGAGGAAACUGACAAACUGGAACGUGUCCAGAGGAGGGCAACCAAAAUGGUCAAAGGCCUGGAAACGAUGCCUUAUGAGGAACGGCUAAGAGAGCUGGGCAUGUUUAGCCUGGAGAAGAGGAGGUUAAGGGGUGAUAUGAUAGCCAUGUUCCAAUAUAUCAAAGGAUGUCACAUAGAGGAGGGAGAAAGGUUGUUUUCUGCUGCUCCAGAGAAGCGGACACGGAGCAAUGGAUCCAAACUACAAGAAAGAAGAUUCCACCUAAACAUUAGGAAGAACUUCCUGACAGUAAGAGCUGUUCGACAGUGGAAUUUGCUGCCAAGGAGUGUGGUGGAGUCUCCUUCUUUGGAGGUCUUUAAGCAGAGGCUUGACAACCAUAUGUCAGGAGUGCUCUGAUGGUGUUUCCUGCUUGGCAGGGGGUUGGACUCGAUGGCCCUUGUGGUCUCUUCCAACUCUAUGAUUCUAUGAUUCUAUGAAAGUUUUCUAUUGUUGCAAGGUUUCAAAGUGUCUUUGAAUUUUUGCACAUGUGCACCACAAAAGCACAUCAUGAGAAGGUUGUGUGCUUUUCGGCCCGUGAACCAAAAACAGAAUGGUGUGUGUGUGUGUGUGUGUGUGUGAGCACUGGUGAUGUUCCUUGAGGAAUGAAGAUUCUCUUUAGCCAUUAUCACUCACAUGUCUCCAAUCAAUGAGUGGGGCACUAAAGAAGUGACUACUGGCUCUGCCCCUCUGUGACAUUCCUCAUAACCCAUCUUGCAGCCUCCUAUGUGUUCAAGAGGCAUUUCUGCAACAGGGAGACAGCUUUACUCAUCCGGGCUUGCUGCAUAAUGUGCAGCCAUGCUAAAUAGCGCAGGAAGCCAAGAUGAGCACUGUGAUUGGAAUCCCAUAUGUCCUUAUUUUCCAGAGACAGCCCUGGCUUUGCAGAAGCCACCCCAGUUUCCGAUUUGAUCCCAGAAUGUCCCGCUUUUCCUCACGACGUCCCUAUUUUCACCGGAGAAAUGUUGGAAAGUAUGGAGUUAUGCAACCCCUGAGCCAAGGAGAUAAGUAAUGAUGCAACUUUAACAAGACAACUGAAGGCAGCCCUGUUAUGGAUUUUUUUUUUUUAAGUUCAACAUUUUAUUAUGUUUUUAUAUAUGUUGGAAGUUGCCCAGAGUGGCUGGGGCAACCCAGUCCUAUGGGAGGUAUAUAAAAUCAUCAACAUCAACAUCAUGGAAUAGGAUGUCCCUAUUUUCAGUGGAGAAAUAUUGGAAAGUAUGGAAUCACCUGACAGGGAAUGAAUAGAUAUGGUUUUGUUGUGAAGAAAAGUGCAAUAUUCUCCCAGCAUGACUAGGGUAACAAGGAAACAACUUCAGGAAUCCUAAGGUAGAUUCAAGCCAGACAAGAAGUACUUUUUCACAGAAAACAAACUAUGAAAUUCACUGCUAGAAUUUGUGUUGAUGGCCACCAACUAGGAUUGCUUUAAAAGGGGUUUAGACAAAUUCACGGAGAUAAGGCAAUCAACUAGUUGUGACGACUGCAAUACUACUUCCAGGAUCACAGUCAGUGUGCCUCUGAAUAUCAGUCAAUGGGGAACAACAUGAGGAAGGAGCUAUUGCGUUUUUGGCCUGCUUGGCAGCCGAUGCGCAUCUGGCUGGAGACUUUUCUUAUGUUGUUGUUGUUGUUGUUUAGUCGUUUAGUCGUGUCCGACUCUUCGUGACCCCAUGGACCAGAGCACGCCAGGCACUCCUGUCUUCCACUGCCUCCCGCAGUUUGGUCAAACUCAUGCUGGUAGCUUCGAGAACACUAUCCAACCAUCUCGUCCUCUGUCGUCCCCUUCUCCUUGUGCCCUCCAUCUUUCCCAACAUCAGGGUCUUUUCCAGGGAGUCUUCUCUUCUCACGAGGUGGCCAAAGCAUUGGAGCCUCAGCUUCAGGAUCUGUCCUUCCAGUGAGCACUCAGGGCUGAUUUCCUUAAGAAUGGACUUCUUAGGUUAAGGGUCCCUUAAGUAGAAGCACAGCUUGUCAACAAAGUGAUUCAAGGUUUCAACUUCCAGUUUGUGGCCUGAAAGCAGAAUGUGGAAGAUGCUCAUAUCCAACUGGACACUUUCAGGAUCUUGCGAUAAACUAUAGCGGCAAAUAUAUUUUGACAAGUAAGGAGGAAGGAAGAGCCUUUGACGAACGGAGGUAAAUUAAUAUGCUCGCAGCUCCCUUUUGCAUUGUGGUACCAGCCUCGCAAAGAAAAGAGCAAGUGAGUUGAACGAGGCCCUGUUAAAUUCCCCCACUAAUCUGAUGAGAAGAGGGAGAGACAGACAGCGAGAGUUCACUUGGCUAAUUUUCUAGCCAGAAGCUACAACAAUGUUUCUAUUAGGAGAUAUGAAAAGAGACAAAGAGAUAUAAUAACUAUAGAUUGGCAUUGCUGGCCAGAAGACGAGCUCACUCUGCUUCAGGGUGGGAGGCCAAGCUCCUAAGGGGGAAUUUUGUGUUUUAAUACAUUCUUUUUUGGGCUAUUUCUAUCUGCACAUUAGAUUAACACUGAAUGAAAAUAAAGGUUUUUUUAAAAAAGAAAGAAAGAAAACCAUGGAAAAUUGUCUGUUCAGUUAGCUUGCAUAAAAGUGAGACAAAAAUGCAUUGACCUUGCAUUGUCCUCCCCUCUGAGGAUGUGUGAAAUUCAAAAUCAUAUUAUUCGGCUCACAGAGACAGGUUUCUUCCUUUCCCCCUUUUCAUCUAUUGUUUAUUUUGCAUCUAUUCUAAGGGGAAUAUGAGCAUCUGAUGAUCUGGGAUACAAAACUCUUGGACCUUUUACAUUUUUUAUAUAUUUCGCAUGUACUCCUUAAACCAGUUGUUCUCUGCCUCUGCAUUGAGUGGGCACACUAGGAAAGGAUUCACUCAAACAAUUAAAGAUUCCCAUGAAGUUGGAGGACUUUGUAGGUCAGCCUUCCCCAAGCUGCUUCCCUUCAGAUAUUGUUGGACUACAGCUGCCAUCAGCCCCAUCCAGCAUGGCCAUUGUUUGGGGACAGUGAGAGUUGUACUCCAAAACGUAUGGAGGACAGCAGGUUGGGGAAGCCUGUGGUAAACAAAUUACAGUGGUACCUCGGGUUACAUACACUUCAGGUUACAGACUCCGCUAACCCAGAAAUAGUGCUUCAGGUUAAGAACUUUGCUUCAGGAUGAGAACAGAAAUCGUGCAGCGGCAACACAGCAGCAGCAGGAGGCCCCAUUAGCUAAAGUGGUGCUUCAGGUUAAGAACAGUUUCAGGUUAAGAACGGACCUCCGGAACGAAUUAGUACUUAACCCAAGGUACCACUGUAAUGGAAGGAAAGGUCUGUCAAUAGCUCCUAGGCAAAUACAGUGGUGCCUCGCAAGACGAAAUUAAUACGUUCCGCAAGUCUCUUAGUCUUGCGAAGCACAGCUAUUAGCGGCUUAGCGGCUUAGCGGCUAUUAACGGCUUAGCGGCUUUAUGAAAAAGGAAACAAACUCGCAAGAACUCGCAAGACGUUUCGUCUUGCGAAGCAAGCCCAUAGGGAAAUUCGUCUUGCGGAACGACUCAAAAAACGCAAAACCCUUUCGUCUAGCGAGUUUUUCAUCUUGCGAGGCAUUCGUCUUGGGGGGCACCACUGUACUGGUUGCUGGAGAAGGUCUACCAACUUCUUGUGGGCUUCCUGGAAGUGCCUAGAUGGCCACACUGUAGCAGAAGGACUAAUGGUCUUAUUCAGCUGGAUUCUCCUCCUCCUCCUCCUCCUCCUUCAUCUAUUUAUACCCUGCAUUUCCCCCUGACAGGACUCGAGGCAAAUUUAUAGAUCAAAACAUAGAAAAAUCAAUCAUUAAAAAACAACUGAACAUCGAUAAGAUUGAAACUAUAUACAUAUAUAAAAUCUGUUUGGAAACAUAGAGAUAAUCACAAUAAAAAUAGUUCGGUGCCAGCCCUUUCAUUAAAAGCAGUCAGUUUUGAAAAGCAUGUUGGAAGAAUAAGUUUUUCACCUACUGGUAGAAAGAAGGAGGCAAGAAGAGGGGAAGGAGGAGGCCAGUCUAGCUUCUCCAGGGAGGGAUUUCCAGAGUUUGAGAGCAGCCACCGAGAAGGCCCUUUCCCACAUCCCCACAAAGUUUGCCUGUGAGGGUGGUAGGACCAAGAGAUCUCCUGGAGAUCUCAAAACCCGGGCAGGUUCAUAUGAGGGAAUACGGUCUUUGAGAUAGCUAGGACCUAAGCCAUGUAGGGGUUUAGAGGGCAUAACCCACACUUUGAAUUUUGCCUUUAUGAAUUAUGUCCCAUUGCACCUGAGCCUCCAUCAAGGUAGACAAGUCUGUUGUGUACUCACUCUAUAUAGUUGAUGCAUUAAAGAACCCAUGCAGAGAUGUGGUUGGAUCAGGUUCCUUCUGAGGAGAGUGUCUCUGUAUGAACAGAGGCUGUGGGCAUGCAGCCAUCCAAUCAGAGUUCCCCUGAGAAUGAACUUUUGUGAGUGGCUAUAGAAAGAAGGAGGUGGGGUUCUUUUUGAGUGGGGUGGAGGACUGGCUAGCAGAGCAAUCCAACCCCGUUUUCCAGACUGGACUGAGCACAUGUGCCUCUCUGUCCAGAUCUGAUGGCUAAGCCAGAUCCCCCCAACCAAUGCCUAUGCAGAGGUUUGCCUUCUGCCCACCAAAUGUGUGAUGCGUCCCCACAAGUGCAGGCCCUGAAACAGAAUGUCCCAGGCAGAGAUGUACCCUAGGGAUUGGCAAAACUCGCCCCCACUAGGGGAGCAGGCCCAGUGUGUGUGUGUGUGCGCACGCGCACACACGUGCACAAAAAUCAACUACAAGACUAUGGAGUGCAUGACAUAGAGGUGUGUUGUGACACAAGAGAAGCUUCCCAUCCUUCUUGCACUGCGGCACAAAUGAGUGCAAAUUUUUCACUCUUGCCCUCCUCACUCUGGACCUUCAGUAUACCUGAAGGAGCGUCUCCACCCCCAUCGUUCUGCCCUGACACUGAGGUCCAGCUCUGAGGGCCUUCUGGCGGUUCACUCCUGCGAGAAACCAAGUUACAGGGAACCAGGCAGGGAGCCUUCUUGGUAGUGGCACCCGCCCUGUGGAAUGCCCUCCCACCAGAUGUCAAGGAAAUAAACAACUAUCUGACUUUUGGAAGGCAUCUGAAGGCAGCCCUGUUUAGGGAAUCUUUUAAUGUUUGAUGUUUUAUCGUGUUUUUAAUAUGGUUUUUAAAGUGGUUUUUUCAUAGAGAGGACAGCUCCUUGUCAAGGGCACAGGGGAUCCUAUGGUGUAAGCUGCCUUGAGCAUUGUUUUUUUAACUGUGGAAAGGCAGCAUACAAAUAAAAAAUGAUGAUGAUCCUAGGUACGCCUCUGACAGGGAGGAGCUGAGCCUUCCUGGAAUUGAUGGGAUCCUGUAAUGGUCCCAGUCCCUGCAUCAUUGCUAGACUGGUGCAGAGAUUGUCCAGCCCCUGCUGUGUGUGACUGGGCUGUGCAGGAGUCUUUGGCACUACCACUUCUUAAAACCCCCUGGUCUUUGCCUGGGUUUUGAAUUGUCCUCCAAUGCUGCAAUCCUAAAACACUUUCUAGGGAUCAACCCCCCAUUGAAUACAAUGGACCUUACUUCUAUGUAAACUUGCAUAGGAUUAUGCGCUUGUAUUCUGGAAGAGAUUUUUUUUACACCCACCCACAGUCUUAGCUGGGUUCACUGAGAGUUGGAAAGACCAGAUGCUGAAAAAUCAAGAAUAUUUCUUGGGGAGAAUUAAGUAUUCCUUAUCACUGCCAAUUAUUACCUGCAUGUGACCUCCAUCCCACACCACUUCUCGCAUUACUGUGUCACAAAGGAAGCCUGGGCUUGAGAACCCCAAGUUUCCCUUAUAUCUUCUCCUUCUGGCCUUAGAAUAUGUUUUAUUUUCCUUCCCUCACACCCCACCUGUCACAAAUAUUUCCCUUCCAUUAAUUCACUCGGAGCAGGGAUCAAGCAUGGCUUGAGUGUCUGAUUGGACUCAGCACUCGAAUUCCUCACAAAGUACUAGUUGUGUGGGGGACAGCAUUGUCACAUUUCACAACCAUGUUAACUUCAAUAUCAUGUCUUCUUCCCCCCUCCCCCAAAUUUCUCUCUCUCUCUCUCUCUCUCUCUCUCUCUCUCUCUCUCUACUGAAAGAGAGACUUAUUUCCCAUCCUGCCUCUCCAGAGCACUUGCCUCGAUCAAAACAACAGUGCCUGAAGCAACUCCUUUCAUAACCUCGGUUUAUCAGGACAGCUAUGCUGGCACUCAUACAUGAGGGAACACAUUUUGAGGAAAGGGCAUGCAACUGGAAUGAACUAGGCAGAACUGGAAGCUGUUCAGGAAAAAACUUGUUUUCUGGAGAUAGCCACACUUGAUUCCAAGACAAAAGUCGCCCUCUUCGCUCAAGGAAAUGUCUCACCUUUUGUGAGACCAUCAGUGCAAAUCCAUGGCUGUUUCUACAAGUUCAAAUAAGUGUUUCAGAGGCCCUAGAUUCUGUAUUUUGGCUUGGAUUUCAGCUUUGUGUGCCACACCAAGAAAGUAUUGUGUUUCUUUUGGCUUUGGCUGUUUCCACAGUUAUGAAAAUUAGAUCAUUAUACCUACCUGAGAGGAAGGAAACGAGGCCAAAUACUCAACGUUGCACUCUUGUUAGUGUCAAAAUCGCAGAGCAAUUUCACACAUUGUGUGUGGAGGGUGGGAUAGGAUGAAACACGAUUAAAUGAUGCUUCCUGCUUGCGCCAGGCCAGUGUAACAUUAGGCAAGGAAAUGACAUGGUGGAGAAAGCUUAUUCCCCAUACAAAAUCCCCUUCAAACCUUAUACAAGCUAUGCAGAAAUUAAAAGCUGCACUCUCCUGUUUUUAGACUCACAGAGUUGGGAGCUCAAAGAUCCUAUAGUCUAGCCCCCUAAGCAAUGUAGAAAAUGCUAAAGCAUCACAGAUAGCGUGGACAUCCCAGCAUCCCAUCUCUAACAAAAGAGAGUCUACCCUUCUGCUCUUGUCAAUAUCAAACAGCUCAUACUGCGUUCCUGAUGUUUAGCUGAAACCCCCUUUCUUGCAAUUUGACCAUUGGGUCAGGCCCUACUCUCUGGAACAUCAGAAGAGACAGUUUCUCUGUCAUCUACAUUGCAGCUGAUCAACUAUUUGAAGAUGACUAUCAUAUCACCUUUUGAUAAUCCCUUCUCCAGCAUAUCCAAUUUCUUUAUAGGACUUGUUAUCUAAGUCCCUCAACAUCUUCCAAAAUAGAGUGGUGCCAUUACUUCUCAUGAUCUGGACAUUACUUCUGUUGAUGCAGCCUAGAAUUACUCUGUUUUUGAGUUUUCAUUUUGUAAAUUGCCCUGUGAUCCUUGGAUGAAGGGUAGCAUAGAAAUUUAAUGAAUUAUAAUAUUAACUAAUAAUAAUCAUUGUAUUAGCCUGUUCAGACACUGCAUUGCACUGCUGUCUCAUGCUUAGCUUGUGGUCUACAAAGACCCUUAGAUCCUUUUCAUACAGUACAGCUUUCAAGUUAGGUGACACCCCGUGCUAUGUUUCUGCAUCUGACUUUGCCGACCAAAUGGAAAACUUUGCCAAAAUCUCUUUUGAAAUUUGUUCAGUUAGUUUUGACACAGUUCUGCAUUCUGUCAAGAUCACCUUGAAUCCUGUUCCUUGUCUUCUAAAGUACCCCACCCAGUUUGGUGUCAUCAACAAAUGUGAUGAGCAUCCCCUCUGCUCCUUUUGUCCAAAUCAUUUACAAAGAUGUGGAACAACAAUGGGCCCAGGAGAGACCCCUGCAGCUCUCCACUUGUCACUGCUCUCCAUGCUGAUGUGGAGCCAUUAGUGAACACUCUUUAGGUAUGGUUCAUUAACCAACUGCAGAUCCAAAUAUCAGGUGCAUCGUCUAGCCCACAAGUUUACCACCUUGUCAACAAGCUAAUUGUGUGGGACUGUCACAGCGCUCCAGCUUGCGCCAUGUAGCGCCAUGUAGCGAUGGGAAGGGAGAUCUAGCCAAAACGGGAGUGUCCCCCUCUGUUCACCCAUGCUUCUUAGUAGACUCUUGCUGCCACUAGGGGAAGGAGUUGGUUACUUCCAACUGCUUUCCACUAACUUACUUUGUGUCUCAUUGAGAACCUGCAAUACAGCCAGCGGCAGAGUCUGCCUGCCUCCUCCCACUCAGCUGCCCUACAGCUGGGCGGAAGGCAGUGGGUAGACUGUUUGGGCAGAGCAGAGAGACGUGUGGCUCAGGUGUGCUGCAGGCCCUGCGGGGAGUGCUGCCCGGCAUUUUGUCACCCCCCCCGUGGUGACACCCGGGUCAACCCGCUCCCACCACACACCCCUUCCUCUGCCACUGAAUACAGCGCAGAACUUGACACUUGGACACGGGUGGCAUAUGAAAAGAUACCACAGUGUGGUGUAGUGGUUAAGAGCAAUAGACUCGUAAUCUGGGGAACCGGGUUUGCUUCCCCGCUCCUCCACAUGCAGCUGCUGGGUGAUCUUGGGCUUGUCACACUUCUUUGAAGUCUCUCAGCCCCACUCACCUCACAGUGUUUGUUGUGGGGGAGGAAGGGAAAGGAGAAUGUUAGCUGCUUUGAGACUACUUCGGGUUGUGAUAAAGCGGGAUAUCAAAUCCAAACUCUUCUUCUUCUUUUUUGAAGUCUCUCAACCCCACUCACCUCACAGAGUAUUUGUUGUGGGGGAGGAAGGGGAAGGAGAAUGUAGCCUCUUUGAGACUCCUUCAGGUAGUGAUAAAGCGGGAUAUCAAAUCCAAACUCUUCUUCUUCUUCACAAAAGUUUUAAGAAACAAGAUUAAAAGUUUACAAGAAGGAUAAAACAGUAGUUCUUGGGAGGGAAAUCUUUUCACGUAAGAAUGGCUACACACACAGCAUAAGGACACAAUAGAAUAAGCUGGAUCAGGCCUAUGGCAGAUCUAGUCCAGCAUCCUGUUCUCACUUUGACCAACCACAGAUGCCUGUGGAAAACCUUCAAGCAAGACCUAAGUCCAAGGGCACUUUCUCCUGCUGCCAUUUCCAGCAACUGAUGAUCAGAACAGCACAUCUACUGCCUCACCUGCAGAUGUAAAGGAGAAAUAGAAUUGUGGGUCAUCAGCAUAUCGCUGACAAAGUAAUGCAGAACUCUGGAUGACCCCAUGCGGUGGUUUCAGGUAGAUGUUAAACAGCAUGGGGGAUAAAAUCAGACCCUGAGGAACCCCACUUUGAAAACUCAAUUGGUGCCGAAAAGCACUCCCUCUGGAAACAACUGUCCAAGGAGGAACCACCACAAACCACCAGAAGGAUAUCAUGGUUGCUGGUAUCAAGAGCUGCUGAGACUUGAGAUGAAUUGACAGGGACCUAUUUCCCUUGUCUUUCUCCUGACAGAAGUCAUCAUACAGGGCGACCAAAGCAGUUUGUGCCAAAACCAGGCCUAAACCCCAGCUGAAAUGGAUCUAGAAAAUCAGGUUCCUUCAAGAGUGAUUGGAUAACACUCACAGAGAGAAACUGAUUUGAGCUUGGCACAUACGAAGCUGAGUUGGACCAUUGGUUCAUCUAGGGCCACAUUCAUACCAUACCAGUGCAGCACUCAGAUACCACUUUUAAAAGGCAUAGCUUUGCCCAGAGAAUUGUGGGAGCUGUAGUUUGUUAAGGGUGCUGAGAGUUUUCAGGAGACCCCCUAUUCCCCUCCCAGAGUUCAUUCCUCUUCCAAGGGAACUCUGGGAAUUGUAACUCUGUGAAGGGAAUAGGGGUCUCCUAACAACUCUCAGCACCUUUAACAAACUACAGCUCCCAUGAUUCUUUGGGGGAGGCAAUGGUAAGGUUACCAGAUUUUUUUCAAUGAAUCCGGGAACUCUUUUCAACUUCCUACUGAAUAGAUGGAUUUUGUCAGGGGACUGAUUUGUAAAUCCAGGGAUUGUCCCCGGGAAACGGGGACGUCUGGGAACCCUAGGCUAGGGUAUCCUCAUGUUUUAAAUGUGUGGCCUGGAUGUGCUCUAGUUCAGCACUGUUUGUUAUUCUGCUUCUGACAGUUGUGGGGGGGAUAUAGUCCUUAUUUUCAGUUUCUUGUGGCCUGCAUUAGCCGUCCCUUUCUCCCACCUUCCUUUGGGGUAGGAAGUCUGCAGAGCUCAGCUAGCACAGACAUGACAUUUCCACCCGUUUAUCCCAACAGAAUUGCGGGUCCUCUGUGUUCUAUUAAAAUAACACCAAUUAAAUGUUGAAAACUGCUUGGGCAUGAACGUUACUCUGGGUCACUUGAAGAGGCAUGUCGUCGUGUCCGGCUUACUGUCAGCCACGAGAGCAGGAGAAGUUAAGAGUUGCAAGUUACAACAGAAGCAAAAACGAAGUCCCUUUCCUUUCUUCCCCUCCUCUUCUCUCCGCUUUUAACUUUGUGCUUUAUUUUACUUUCUCUCUCCCCCCCCCCCCGCUUUCUUGAAAUGCAAACGCAUUUGCUUGAGCUUUUGAGAUCUUUUUGGCUGGAAACGGGGACAGGGAAAAGGAAACUUACCUCUUUAAUUGCUAGCCUAUUGUUGGUAGAAUUUAUAAAUUAUGAUAUUGUUACCUCAGGGCUUGCUGACAGACUGCAUCGGUACUCUUCAGUCUGGCUCUAAUCCCAGCCUCGACCCCCCCCCCAAAAAAAACCACCUCCUUUUGAAUUCUGGAAUGCAGACCAGUGGGGUGGGGUGAGCAUUUUCAUUCAAUAAGCUAACUUGUCUGAACCCAGAUUACUGUACUGUGUAUAACUACUGAAAAAGAAAGAAUUGACAUCCAUCUGCUUUCAACCGACAUUAUAAAAUAUUAUAAAGUGGGGGGGGGGAGGAAGGUUCCUCCACAGAAGCAAAGGCCGAUCUGUGGUUAUUAUUUUCCUCCAACCCCCCCCCCAAAAAAAAUCCUGAGCUGAAGCUGUGAUGGACUUGCUCGAAUGUCGAGAAAGGAUCUUUGAAAACACCGUCUUUUUGGAUGGAUAAGCCUUUGCAGACUAUAGGCAAACACAUUAGCCGCCUUAUGGGGGAAAGCAUUUGUUAUUUGUUACAAAUAAGAGCCCAAAUGUACAAGUCAAGUUGCUUCAGGUCACAGUGGAGACACUGGCAUUUUCCACAAGGGAUGAUGGGAGUUGUAGUAUAACCCCCAUAAGAGCAUGAAAAAAGCCUGCUAGAUCAUGGGUGGGCAAAGUAAGGCCUGGGGGCCGGAUCUGGCCCAAUCACCUUCUCAAUCCGGCCAGCGGACCGUACAGGAAUCAGCGUGCUUUUAGAUGAGUAGAAUGUGUUCUUUUAUGCAUCUCUGAGUUAUUUGUGGGUCCUGCCUGGUGUUUUUACAUCAGUAGAAUGUGUGUUUGUAUUUAAAAUGCAUCUCUAGGUUAUUUGUGGGGUAUAGGAAUUCAUUCAUUCCCCCCUCCCCCCAAAAAUAUAGUCCGGCCCCCCACAAGGUCUGAGGGACAGUGGACCGGCCCCCUGCUGAAAAAGUUUGCUGACCCCUGUGCUAGAUCAUCCAUUCCUGCAUCCUCUUCCCACAGUGGCCAACCAGAUGCUUAUAGGAAGCCCACAAGCCUGGAUAGCUCAGUUGGUUAGACCAUGGUGCUGAUAACACCAAGGUUGCAGGUUCGAUCCCUGUAUGGACCAGCUGCAUAUUCCUGCAUUGCAGGGGGUUGGACUAGAUGAUCCUUAGGGUCCCUUCCAACUCUACAGUUCUAUGAUUCUAUGAAGUGAAACAUGGGGGGCAGCAGCACUCUCCCCAUUUGUGAUUCCCAGUAUUCCCAGGCAUGCUGCCUCCAACAACAGAGGAGGAACAUAGCUAUGAGGGUUAGUAGCCAUUGAUAUUCUUGCCCUCCAUGAAUUUGUCCAGUCCUCUUUUAAAGCCAUCCAAGUUUGUGGCCACCUCUGUCUCUUGUGGAAGCGAGUUCCAUAGGGUCACUAACUUUAUUCUGUCUGUCCUAAAUUAUCCACCUUUCAGCUUCAGUGGAUGUCCCUGAUCUCCAGUGGAAAAAAGAUCCUGCAUUGUCUUCCUCAAGUUUCAAGAAUGUUGGGAGAAAGGAGGAGACAACCACUGGUCUACUCAUCUUGGAUGCAGAAGCUAUUGUAUUCUGGCCCUUGAAGAUAAACUUUCCCCCCAUGAGGAUUCAAGGAGGCCUGUUGGAUGGUGGCGUGCAGGAUCAUUCCCCUUCAAGUGUUCUUCCAGCUAUCAGCGCCUCCCCCCAUAAAUGACAAAGUGACAGCAAAGAAAAGAGUUCCCCGGUGCACGUGCAGAGGGCAUUUCCUCAUUACUGAUAAAAAUUUAGGUGGGUCCUCCAUAUCCAUAAUUGGAAGGUAGAAUUCCUAAGCCAGAAGAGAUUGGUAACCAAAAGGGCUGCAACUCCUUUAUUUAUAAAUUAAGUGCUGGGGUCCGUCAGAGAUGCCCAACUUGGCCUAAAGUGCCCUGAUAAUUUAUGAUAUAAAUUAUGGAACGUGUGUGUGUUUUAUUUAAAGCAGAUUAAAACGAACAAUUGCAGCAACAUUGAAAAUCAGUAGAAAACUCUACUGGAAUAAUGCAGAGUAAAUUAACUCUAUGAUGUAAAUGAAUGUACUCAUUUAAACAGAG